rnacentral:tRNA from 1 species
GGGGUUGUGGCUCAGCGGUCGAGCGCUCACUUAACACGUGCAAGGCCCUGGGUUCGAUCCUCAGCACCACA